rnacentral:lncRNA from 1 species
UGCAAUCCAAAUUGCUAUCGAAUUUCAUUCAAACUUUAUUCUGUAUUCAACGAACGGAUACCUCCAUAAUCCCCAAUCGAAAUAUCCCUCGUUUCCCACGCUUCGAAUUUGAGCAUACCCCCUAGCAGUUUUGCUACUUUUGCCUAUUAUAGCUGCUGUCCCUUUCUCCUUCGAAUCCCAAUUUUCCACCAGGUGUUUGUUUCCAAUUUUUCUCAAGGCACGCGUCCAUUGGGUUGAACAUUUUUUUCCUCGUUAAAGGCGGCGUUUUCUGCCACCUUUUUUCUGGUAUGUGCUGAAUCUCCCCGUCUGUUUGAUUUUGUUGGUAAAUUCUUAUCGGAAUUUUGGCUUCUCUUUUUUUUGCCCCCUCAAAAUUCUCAUGGGUGAUUGAUUAAUAUGUCGUUUUGAAAUAAAUACCUUAUUCUGUGCAGAUUUUUGGCUAUUGCAAGGGCAUCUAGGUAGGCAUUGGAUCCUUUUAUUUUCUUGGGAAGGGUGGUUGGGUUUGUUGGACGAAAGGAUCAAAUGCUGUUUUCUGAUUAAAAACUUUACGUUUAUUAUAAAACCUUUGUCUGAAAAUAUGGGUUAAUUGAUUGGAACAUUUGGUGUUUUAAUGUGUGCGAAAUUUGCAAGUUUCAGAGGGUUUUGAUGAUAUCUUGUAGUGAAUCUCUCUAUAGGCGCUUGUCGCACUAGUCUAUUGGUGAAGUUCUUUAUACAGUACAUGGGCUGUUUUAAUUCUAAGGCAAGAAGGCAGUUUCCUGGACAUGAAGACCCCAUUUUGCUUGCUUCCCAAACAGCUUGUAAGCUUGUUUCUUUUGUUUUUUAAUUGUUAAUUUUGGAUAAAUGUUGAAUCUCUUUCAUUUCUAAUUCAGAAAGACUUGGUGUUUUAGGUUCAUGAUAAAACGUGAGUUUGCCAUGCUAACACACAAGUAAAGUAAUUUUUAGCAAGGAUAUAGAUUUUAUCUGGGCGGGAGUGCAAAUGUUACGAAAUUGAUUUAAAGCAAGACAUUUGCUGAUUUACUUAGUUUAUCAAGUCGAAAUAAUGUAUUUUCUUAGAUAUGAGGCAUGGGUAGCUGAGGUUGUCUAUAGUUGGUUUGUCAUGUGUCAUUCUUUUUCUGGCUCGGAUCUUGGAUGGAAAUUGACUUUAUAUGAAUAAACGAAUUGUUUGAUGGCCUCUUUUUUGUUACUCUCUCUCUCAUCUUGGGUUUUGCAUGAUCUAAAGAUAUAUUUCUUUGUUCUAGCUUUCUUCAUUCUUCGUUUUUAACUUAACUUUCUAUUUUUUUUUUCUUUUUUCCUUUUUUAAGUUUUGAAAAUGCUUCUGUUUGUGUCUAUAUAUAGUUGAAAAUUGCAGAGAUAAUUUAUGCGCUACCCUACUUUUUCAUUUAAUUUUGCAUAUAAAAUGCACCAAGCCAUUGAGGCAGUCAUUUAUUUGCUUAUCAUUCAGGAUUGUUGUUUUAUUUGCGUUUUUUGUGAUGUUGUUGAUUAUGUAUUAAUAAAAAAACUAAUAAACCUGUUCUUUCUUUUGCAGUUAGUGUUAGUGAAGUUGAAGCACUAUAUGAAUUGUAUAAGAGCAUUAGUGGCUCUGUGAUUGAUGAUGGCCUAAUAAAUAAGGUGAUUUUCACUGAACAUCAACCAAGCUCAAGCUGCCUUGUUCAUUUCAUGUGAUGUUUCACUGUAAUUUUUGGUUAUCAAGCUUCUUGUUUCUGGCAUUUCUUUUAUCAUGAGAAUAUAUUGCACAUUGGUUUUUGGAAGAUUUCGUGACUCUAUGACUUACAUGAAGUAAAUGCAAUUGCAAUACUCUCUUGCAAUUUUUCCCAUCACAUGGUAUUUACUCAUGCAAAUAACCAGUAUUUGUAUGUGUCUAUGCUCUAUUAGUUUGUACUUGAAGAGAAGUUAUCUUAGAUCAUCUGCAGUACACUAGAUUUAGUUUCGUAGAAAAGUUGGGAACCACUAUUUUUCUUUUCAAAUUGUUAACGUACAUUUAUGUUGAGCUAUUGUUUUAACUUCAAUGUGAAAAUGUUAAUUAUGAUUUGUAAAUUAUUGAAAUUAUUUUGAAUGCUCAUGUUGAUCUCUGUUACGAUGUAGUGGUUUUUGAUCAACAUUGUAUGAACAUCUAAACAAGUAUCACUAAUUGGAGGUGUCACCAGGACAUGGGAUUGCUUUCAAAAUAAUUAUUUCAUGAGAAACUACAUGAUUCUUUUCAGUUUUCUCCUUUGGAUAUUAUUUCUGUCUUUCUAAUUUAAUAUGAUUAUUGCUCCUCCAGAAGAAACACCAGCAAUACCGUCUGAAUUGUGCUAACUAUUUGAAUUAUUUGUGCCUAAUGACGUGUAAAUAUGAACUCAAUACCAUUUUUGAAACGCAGGAAGAAUUUCAAUUGGCUUUGUUCAAGAACAGGAAGAGAGAGAAUCUUUUUGCUAAUCGG